rnacentral:misc_RNA from 1 species
CAGUAGUCACCCAGGUUGCCGCAAGGCCUCCUGGGUAACCUACCACCCUUUGUUUAGUACACUUUGUUGCUUUGGCAAGCCUGCCCUCGGGCUGCUGGCUCCGGCCGGCGAGCGCUUGCCAGAGGACCUAAACUCUGUUUGUCUAUACUGUCUGAGUACUAUAUAAUAGUUA